UUAAAAAAAAAAAAAAAAAAGCCAAGAAUUCUUAGCUGAAAAAGUAACUGUCAUUAUGAUCGUUAUUUAACGGUCGGUAAUGGCUAUUACCUUUAGAUAACAUCGAUAGCGGCCUUUAACAGAUUUAAAAAUCUAUUAAAUAACAGUGAUAACCAUGACGAUAAGCCAAAAAACCUUUAAAUUACGUAAUGGCUGUUAUUUAAAACCAUGGUUGGGACCUAUGCUACCUAGAGUGUGGAUAGCUUAGGUACACAACGAAAAUGGGAACAUGAAAAAAUCCUUGUUUAGAAUUGCAAUACAAUGGGUAGGCAUCUUCAGAUUGCUCAGCAAGAAAUUUGAUUACCAGGAAUGUAGAACACUUUUCAGGACCAAAAAUAUCCAUGUCCCAAAAUUUGCAGAAUAUAAAUAGUAAUGAAAUUACUGAAUUUUUCAAUUCUUAGCCCAUGGUGGUUUGCAUUUUGGAACAAUAAUUUUGAAGUUCCUAAUCGGUAAUGAUCCAUAGCUCAGGUUGUGUGAUCUUGAGCACAAAUCACUAGGGUGAAGCUAUUUAUGGUAACAUUGGUCAGAACAUCCAUCAAAUAUUUGCUUCCUACAACAUUUCAACGCAGAAAUAGCUCUCUACACACACAUCACAAAAAAUGAAGGCAUCAUCACUAUUCUUCUUAAGAGCAUUAGGAAAUAAUGAAAGACAUCAGUGCAUGAAAUACUGAAACUGAUAUCAAUUACUAUAAUUAAACAAAUAAAAGAAGGAAUAUAAUGAAGAAAAAAGAAUCAAGAACAUACCGAACUCACAUGGACAGAGCCUGUUUGAACUUCAAAGGGAUGCAAUAGAUAGAUUAUUAUUAUUUUUUUCACAUUCCAGAUUCAGAACAUACACAAUCAUUAAUGUACUAUAAUGAUAGUGCGAAAUGUGUUUAAAUUGUUAAUAUCCCACAUUGGUUUGGAAUAGAGGUAAUGUACUCCUUAUAAGGUCUUGAGCACUCCUCCCCCUUGAGUUAGCUUUUGAGGUGAAUUAAACCAUUUCCAUUUCCCAACCAAUGUUUGAGCCUCCCAUAAAUGUUUCACGCUCAAUGUGUUUAAUUCUUGGUAUAAAGUGUGUUAAUAUCCCACAUUUGUUAGGAGUAAUAUACCUAUUAUAAGGUUUUAGGCACUCCUCCCCUUGAGCUAGCUUUUGGGGUAGAGUUAGACUUAGUCCAUUUUCUCUACAUGAACUUUUCUAUUCAUCAUGAAGUCUGUACAAAGAAUGCAAACGAAAAAUAAUCACAGAGCAGAAACACAUACCACUUCCAACUUCAACAUUAUUCUUUUCUAAUGAAACUGGCUGAAAUUUUCCAUCAAAAGAUCUAGUGGAACUCUUCUGCCGCCUACCUUUCCUUCUUGUCCGCCAGUCAGAAGGCAAAAGACUAUCAUCUGCUGUUCCUUGAUUAGUUGGAACUUCGUUUACGUUUGUGUUAUGAGUAAAACUAUUCAUUUCAUUACUAGAUAUUGAAGAUUUGACUGGCAUUGCCGCACUAUCCACCAUAGGCAUGACUUCUAUAUCAUUGGGAAACCCAUUCUUAAAUGUCAAAGGUUCCAAUGGCUCAUGUGCAUCAUCAGCACCACAUUCCAAAUAAUUAUCAGGCAGUCCAGCCACCUUUUCUGGAAAUGUUUGAUUGGAUUUCUUAUGUUGUUGUUCAGCAAGGUGCUUCAGUUUAGCCUCAUUCUCAAUUCGUCUUUGAUACUCCAGGGUUUCUUCUAGUUUUCUUUCCUCUGCUUCAAGCUCAAUUUUACGUCUACAUUCUUCCUCCUGUUGUUUCAAGUCCUCGCCACUCACUGAAAAAGGAAUCUCAGAAUCCGGAUCACCACCGGAUGCAACUGGAAAGGAACUGUGGCAAGAAACAAAUCAAACGCAACAGCCUGUACUUACUAUUUGCAUUCAUGAUAUGUAGGUGCAAAAUAAAAUGGCAGCACUCAUUGCAGAAAAGCAAACAUAGAGGUGCAAAGUGAGAUCAAGUGGGACACGUACCUUUCCUCAGCAGUCUCAUCAUGAAGCAAAUGCUGCUCAUUGCCAAAAAUAGCCUUUGAAUCUUUGCUUUUCCUGUAUUCUCUGUUCUUUUUUUUAUCCUUUGCCUUCUCCUGUGUAUUUCUCAAAUUAUCACUUCCUCCUCUAGCAAUUUUCUUAGAAUCAAGUGCCAGUUCUGCUAAAAAUGCUUCUCUUGCAGCAUCAGACUUCUCUGUGGCAUCCUUCUCAGCUAAAUCCUCCAAACGUGCCCUCAUGUAUGACUUCAAUAAAGGUAAUAAUAUCAACAGAUAAUCAUAGGCAGAAACAGGUUCAAGUUUGAGUUCCAACUGCUGCAUCCCGGUUACAUUUCGCAUGAUUCGAGCAUCAAUUUUGCUCAGCUCUACUGAUAACUGGUGUUUCUGUCUCCGAAUCACAACUUGUAUACAAGUGUCCAUUUGAUGCACAUUGUCCUUGGUUUUCCAAUUAUUGACUUCACCAGAUUCCAAGUCGCACAACCCAGAACUCAUACCACUGUAAGUAUCCUCAUAUCCAAAUUGAUUGGCAUUCAGAUCUUCUGCUUCUUUUAAUACAUUUGCGAUGACAUCUAACUCAAUCCGACUGCUAUUAAAAAAAGCAUCAUUUUCAUUCUCGACAAGAUCAUCCCUCCUCCUUCUAAGUGCAUAUUCAUAGCAGCUACGAUCAUGUGUAUCAGUUUCCCCUUUCUUAGUUUCUUCAAGACAGAGAUCCUCCACAGCCUGCAAUGCUUCCUCGUAGCUUAAAUGCUCACAUUUUCUCUCACAAAGGCUCUGAAGGUGGUAAAACUCCUUCUCAAGUGUCUGAAGAAUUUCCACUCCCUGGUGCACUUUCUCUUCCUUUGUACGCACCCAUGAUUGCAAUUGCUCCCCACUAGAGGGCCCUGCAAAUAUCCAUGAGAGCAAAGCAUCAACAUCAGGUAGAAUCCCAUUUCCAUGGCCAACAUUAGUAGAAGUUGCUGUGGCCAUAUUAUCAGGAAGACAUUUGCCAGGAGCACAUUCAGAUUGCAAUAGACAUUCAUCAAGGUAGAUACACAACACAUCACCAUCAAGAACAAUUUUCUCUUUUAUCUCAGGACUUUGAGUAGCACUUACAUCAUCUAUUGUACUACUUUUUUCAGAAUAUCUUCCUAAACCACAAGAAUGAGACAGUUCCUGCAAGAAUUUAAGGAUCUUUUUAAGCUGUGAUGCUCCCAAAAAGCAAAUGCACAAGGGUGUCUGGUCCACGCCAUGGUUUAGAAGCUGAGAACCAGAAGCAAGAGUCUGUAGCUCAUCCAUUGUAAGUUGUAUCACCUUGUUUAGAUGGCUUGCAGCAAGAUACUUGCGUUUAAUAAGUGCCUCAAAUACAGCACGAAUUUUUUCAAGGAGCUUUCCUCUCUCAGAGUCCUCUGAUAGCGGCCAGCUAUCAAUAGAGUAUGCCAUAGAACCCUGGUUUCCAUCACACUCUUUGCACUCAAUACUGGAAACUCUAUCUGCAUCAUUGCUCCCUGUAGUAAAAUCAUUAUAGCCAUCCCUUGAAUUUUCCUUCUUUGGAGAAGAAUCCCACGCAUCAUUGAAGCAAUCAUCACACUCCUCAUUAUGACUCCCCGAGUAAAAAUCCUCAACAAUGUCUGCAUCUUGGCAUUUCCCUUGACUUCCAAGCAUCUUGACUGCAGAGGAGAUAUCCAGUGGUUUCCAAGAACAAUUAAGAAUCAUCUCAAUCCACUCAUUGUCAACACUCUGGGGCAAAACUGCUUGCAUUUUAGGCAUAAGGUUCCCCAUAUGCUCUUGCAUAACGUGAUGUAUAUGACUCUCAGAAUCUGCAAACUUCUCAAGGCAUCUACAACACAUCCAAAACCUCCAUGCCUUAUUCUCCUCUGCAAAUGCCAAUGCCUCAUUUAAAACCUCACUAGCCAAACCAUCCUUGGAUGACCCAAAAUAACUCUUCAAAUCACAGACCAUAAUUUUUAAUAAAUCCCUCUUCAUUUCCAUGCUCAUUGAGUUCCAAUAUGACCGCACCCAAUCCUUCCUCUCCUUGUUGGUACCACUCUUCCUCACAUUAAACCCAUACUUCCUCCUCUCUCCUCUCUUAUCAUUCCCUGAUGGCGCUUCCACUCCCUUUUCACCCCGCUCACCAUCAUUGUGUCCCGAACUACUCUCUAAUUUCUGCUGCAAUAAUCUGGCAGCAGCGACCCUAACUUCGAUCUCUUUCCGCCUCUCUUCAGGCGUCUUUGUAGCCUUUUUAAUCUCAUUGGGCCUCCUAGUUUGCAAUAACCUAAGCUCCAUAGGAUCCUCGGUGGCUCUCCGUAUGGGUAUCAAUCUAAUUUCUUCCCCAGUCCCUAAGUUCUUCAUCCAAGUCGAAAUUGAAGCAAUGCUCGAUUUCUGUUUCAAGCUCCUCAGCUCACUCUGCACAUGAGUAAUCCUCGCUUCCGCAGUUGUUAUCUUCUGCUGGCUCUCGUCUUGCAAGCUCUCCUUGGCAGGAUCAAUCGGGUUCAAGAUAUCCAAGGCACGUUCACACUCUUUCAUAACCUCCUCGUAAUCCUUCCCAUCAUUUGCGGCCUCGUAGAGCAAAUUAGCGUAGAAAUGCGCGAAUUCUAUCGAGUUCGGAGACAAUAAAGCUGCUCUACGGGCGGCAUCGAUCGCGUUCUUCAAAUGCCGCUGUUUAGCGUUGGGAUCAUCGAUUAUCGAGGCCAGCUUUACAGAGACCGUACCCUGCACACGGUAAAUUAGGGCUGCGUGCGGCGAGUUAUCACCGUGCCGCAUACCCGACUCCUUCAUGAGACGGAGGGCUUUGGUGUGAUUGCCGCGGCGGAGGGCCGUCAAGGCCCGCUCACAUUCAAUCUUGAUUUUCGAGUAAGAGGAUACGUCUGAUUCAGGAGAAAUAGACGGUUCGAUCUUGGCAAUGGAAAGAUUACUCAGAUUCUCAGCUUCAUCAGCUACCGCCGGAAGUUGUCUUGAACGAGCAGUGGGGUUGCGCUUCUUAUGCCCCAUCAGUAGCGUUUAUUACAACAAUCUGAUCAUGAUGCAUAUAACCGUCUCUAUGUACAAAUAAAAUGUGUAUUGGUUGUAGAGAGAAGUAAAAAGGAAAGACUUACUCGAGAGGGGAAAAAUGCAGGGGUAAGUGGGAAUUGGAAUAGAGUUGCCAGCGACGGCAACGGUGAGUGGAGGAGAUGGGGCAGGCGAUGAAAUCUAGGAAGAGAGCGGAAGAUGAGCGACAAAGGAAGAAGAAGAAGGAGAAGA
rnacentral:misc_RNA from 1 species